CGGAGGUGUAGAGAGUAGCGGAGGUGUAGAGAGUAGUGGAGGUGUAGAGAGUAGUGGAGGUGGAGCGAGUAGUGGAGGUGUAGAGAGUAGUGGAGGUGGAGGGAGUAGCGGAGGUGGAGCGAGUAGCGGAGGUGUAGAGAGUAGCGGAGGUGUAGAGAGUAGCGGAGGUGUAGAGAGUAGCGGAGGUGUAGAGAGUAGCGGAGGUGUAGAGAGUAGUGGAGGUGUAGAGAGUAGUGGAGGUGGAGGGAGUAGCGGAGGUGGAGCGAGUAGCGGAGGUGGAGCGAGU